UGCAGUCGAGCGAUGGAUUGAGAGCUUGCUCUCAAGAAGUUAGCGGCGGACGGGUGAGUAACACGUGGGUAACCUGCCCAUAAGACUGGGAUAACUCCGGGAAACCGGGGCUAAUACCGGAUAAUAUUUUGAACUGCAUGGUUCGAAAUUGAAAGGCGGCUUCGGCUGUCACUUAUGGAUGGACCCGCGUCGCAUUAGCUAGUUGGUGAGGUAACGGCUCACCAAGGCAACGAUGCGUAGCCGACCUGAGAGGGUGAUCGGCCACACUGGGACUGAGACACGGCCCAGACUCCUACGGGAGGCAGCAGUAGGGAAUCUUCCGCAAUGGACGAAAGUCUGACGGAGCAACGCCGCGUGAGUGAUGAAGGCUUUCGGGUCGUAAAACUCUGUUGUUAGGGAAGAACAAGUGCUAGUUGAAUAAGCUGGCACCUUGACGGUACCUAACCAGAAAGCCACGGCUAACUACGUGCCAGCAGCCGCGGUAAUACGUAGGUGGCAAGCGUUAUCCGGAAUUAUUGGGCGUAAAGCGCGCGCAGGUGGUUUCUUAAGUCUGAUGUGAAAGCCCACGGCUCAACCGUGGAGGGUCAUUGGAAACUGGGAGACUUGAGUGCAGAAGAGGAAAGUGGAAUUCCAUGUGUAGCGGUGAAAUG
rnacentral:rRNA from 1 species